UUCUUUUCUUGGAUGGAGCUGGUUCAGUGAAUGCCUGUGCUAAUCACUCCUGGCUGAUUGUGUGUUCAGUUUCACGAGGGGCUCUCGCUGUGUCCCAUCAGUGCUAUUUAAGGGGCCAACCAUCCAGUUUCAUGGAUGAACUUGAUAAAUGUCAGUGGAGCGAAAUGAGCAGAUGGGCUACCUAUUUUACACCAUGAUUGACCUUUCUGUCCAGUGAAGACGGUAACCCUCAGAAUAGUGAAAAUGAUGGAGUAAUUGACAGCUGAACAUCCCCUUACCGUCCCAGCCCCCAUCAUACUUUCAGGCAUAGGAUGACAAAGGGAAGUCCACAAGUCACAUGAUUAAGCACAACUGUUCACAGCGUGACUGGCUUGCUUUCAUUUACAGUAAUUAAUUGGCAAAGUUUAGCCUG